rnacentral:lncRNA from 1 species
UCACAAAACACACCAAAAGUUGUAAAGUACAGUUUGCUUCUUCAAGAGGUUAAGAACAUAAAUCUAUCCUAGGAGAAUCAGUCCAUUAAUAAUCAUCAGCAAAGUACUUCUCUUCGACAUCAUGAUCAGCUUAUCUGAAUCAGUCUAUCAUGGAGAAAUCAACAUCAAAUAGACCUGAAAUUAUUGAUUACAUGUUAGCAAGUGGCCAUGUUCAACAAUACUGUAAGCUAAAUUGCUAGGAUAUCUUAACAAAUUAAACAAGUAAACAUGAUGUUCACGAGUACUACACACAUCAUAGAGAUUGCAAUGUUUUCCUUAAAUAAAUAAGCAUGCCUUUCACAUGUAACGUACUGCACAUCCAAUGUCAAUCAAUGGAUUACUAAGAAGAUGGUCUGACUAAGUGGCUUAUGUCUAAUUUGGUGGAUCUGCACCACAAGGAUUAUUAGACUAGCUUCCAAGUCCAAUUUCUGGUUUUCAAACUUCUUUCACAGACUACUACAAGUCUAUAACAACAAUAAGACAAACACGCUCAAUACCAAUUACAAACCACUUCCACAUUUUAUUUUACUCGUUACUCAGACACUUCGGACACUGUUUAUGAUAUUGUGAAUUGAACCAAAUUGAUCGACAUAUGAAAGCCUACUUCGUUCUUGACUUAAAACACAAAAUUCUUUUAAAACACACAAUUUGGAAUUUUGUGUUCAAAGAUAUAAAACAAAUUAGAAAAACAGUGAAUUAGUGACUAGCUUGGUCAUUGUCAAGAUUGAGAACACAAAAAUCAUAAUCAAUACCAUCAGAUUAAAAUCUUGUCUUUGUGCAUAAUUGAACUCUCCAUGAGGUCUACACAACACUAUAGAAAAAAAAUUACUGUCACCUAUUAGUCCUUCAUGGAUAAACUUACUAAUUAGCCAAGGAAUGUAAACAAAAUUGACUAUAUAGACUUAACUACAAGCGUGACUGUGAAUCUGUCACCUAUAUAGUACAUUCAUAAUUUGUAACUACAAGCGUGUGACGCAGAAGAUCACAGUCGUCAAGACUUAACUUUGAUCCAUCUUUAACAAAAGCCAUAUUGGUAUUGGAGAAUAAAAUUGAAAAAAUAGAAAGAGAAAAACAAGUGUAAUACAUACAAAGUAACUUAAAUGAAUAAGAAAAAGAAGACAAGACAGAAAUAAAUAAAUAAAUAAAAACAUUAUAUAAGCAAAUAAAAAGAAAUAGAUAUGGAGAUUAAUUGAUUGACUGACUUAACAACAACAAAUGGAGAAGAAGAUAAAGAUUUCUAAUUGAAAUGAAAUCAAGAGAAUGAUUAAAAGUUAAAACCCUAAGUAGAGAAUGGUUGUAUAUCAUACCUUAUUGAGAAGAAUAAGAGAAUCAACUUGAGAGAGAUUAUUGUAUAAAUUAAUCUAAAAGAAGAAGAAGAAGAAUCAUCCUUCGUUGGUUCAUGGUGGUUACUGUUGCGGCUAAGGAGAAAGAAAGAACAACC